rnacentral:rRNA from 1 species
GAUGAACGCUGGCGGCGUGCCUAAUACAUGCAAGUCGAGCGAACGGACGAGAAGCUUGCGUCUCUGAUGUUAGCGGCGGACGGGUGAGUAACACGUGGAUAACCUACCUAUAAGACUGGGAUAACUUCGGGAAACCGUAGCUAAUACCGGAUAAUAUUUUGAACCGCAUGGUUCAAAAGUGAAAGACGGUCUUGCUGCCACUUAUAGAUGGAUCCGCGCUGCAUUAGCUAGUUGGUAAGGUAACGGCUUACCAAGGCAACGAUGCAUAGCCGACCUGAGAGGGUGAUCGGCCACACUGGAACUGAGACACGGUCCAGACUCCUACGGGAGGCAGCAGUAGGGAAUCUUCCGCAAUGGGCGAAAGCCUGACGGAGCAACGCCGCGUGAGUGAUGAAGGUCUUCGGAUCGUAAAACUCUGUUAUUAGGGAAGAACAUAUGUGUAAGUAACUGUGCACAUCUUGACGGUACCUAAUCAGAAAGCCACGGCUAACUACGUG